GAUCCAAUACCUGGCGUGGGUACUGUAGGUUAUAUGUGUAAUCUCCUUGUAAACAUGAUGUAUCUCCUUCCUUCUCUCCACAUGUACGUCUCGACCUCUAUUUCUGUCUCACUGCUGUCGCUGUACUCAGACUAUCAUACUCAGUGUCCAUAAUCUGUCUUGUUGUAGUUUUGGAGGGAUGUAGUGUUCUGGGCUGUCGCCAGGUGGCAGUCAAGGACUGAGAGGAGAGACCUGUGGUGUGUGUCGGGCUGGCGCAGUGAGGAACGAGGCCAAGGACAGUGAGGUUGUCUUACAUAGCUGUUGAAAUACACAGAAGUUCAUCCAGUAACAUCGUGGCUGAAGCUGAAUACGACGCUGCGGUUUUGGAUUCGGCCACUUCUUCGUAUUGAAUAUCAGCGACAUACCCAUUCUCAUCUGCCCUGUAAUUGACGACCUGGACACGACCAUCUGGGAGAGGGACACGAUAGUAACCGGUGGUCACCUUGCCGUGACGGCUUUCAGAUCGAGAGUUGCUGUUAUUGGAAGACCGGAAGCUGUAGACUGGUUUCUUGGCCUAAUUAAGAACGUUUGAAAUUAAUUAAUCAAAAUGAAAUCUUUUACUAGCUAAGAACCAGAUCGUUGGAUAAACAUGUAACUCACAUCUUCUCUUUUUUUAUAUACUGAAAUUUGAUCGGCACUUCCAGCUGACGUGGUGAUUAGCAAUAGGAAGCAAAUCCAACACUGCAAUUGUUUCUGCAAAAAUGAUGACAUUAAUUUGUGGACGAACAUCCAUCAUUAAAGCAUGAAUUGUGUCGGAAUUUUUUACCUUCAUAUCAAGAGUUUGUCACAGGUCUCUGAAAGUUAAAACACUGAUAUUAAUGAUUGUGUUCUUGGAGCUUUUAUAGACUGCCGAACUAUGAAAUCCGCAGCAUGCGGGCAAGCUCUCCAACAAGUGACGCUGAUGGGGAACGUACGCGACUAAAGAAAAUCGGAAUGAUGGACUACAACUGAAAAAAGUGAAAGGCAAAUUCAUGCAGAUCAACGUGUAAACCUCGAAAAGGGACGCUUGAAAGUUUCUUCUGCUGAUAUUUGCAAAAUAUUUGACUCCCUCAAAUGUUGGGUUUAAAAAAAGGGGGGAGGGGAUUGCCUCUGGCAAGGAAUACUUGCAUCCGACCAUGUACUGACGGUUACUUUCCAUUCACUAAGACAAUAUAUAUGACAUUGAAAAUGCAA